rnacentral:tRNA from 1 species
CGUUGAGAAGCUAUGAAACAGCACUAGCCUUUUAAGCUAGAGAAAGAGGGAUCUGCCCCCUCCCCAACGG